AGACGUCUACAUUAGAUACCCGCGUAGUCCCAGCCGUAAACGAUGCGCGUUAGGUGUAUCGACGACCACGAGUCGUCGAGGUGCCGAAGGGAAACCGUGAAACGUGCCGCCUGGGAAGUACGGUCGCAAGGCUGAAACUUAAAGGAAUUGGCGGGGAGCACCACAACAGGUGGAGCCUGCGGUUUAAUUGGACUCAACGCCGGAAAUCUCACCGGAUAAGACAGCAGAAUGAUUGCCGGGCUGAAGACUCUGCAUGACUAGCUG
rnacentral:rRNA from 1 species